CCGCCCCUCUUUUUGACACCGUCCAAUCCUCAGUGGGCGCUUUCGUCCUCCCCGCCCUCGCCACCAAAGGAUCGUCCUCCAGGGCCAACAGUCGUACAAAAAGCUCAUGUAGACACCCGAGUUCAGAGCCAGCCUCCAAGAGUAUCUUACAUCCCAGCCUCUCCUGGAAGGCCGUAUGAUCCAGCACUGGGGAGAGGAGGGAAAUCCCCAGGACUCGAAUGCCCAUCCCACCCUCGGUGUAGUGAGGACUCAUCCUGCUGGAAAGGCCCCUGAAGAACUUCAAGUUCCAAUGUCCCAUUUUUACAGAUGGGGAAACUGACAUGAAGAGGAAUCCAAAGUGACACAGUCAGCCCAGAAAUGUUGCUUCUCAAGUCCUGAGUCCACCUCCUAGCACUGCCAAGCAGUCCACUUGGAGGUGAUGAGAACUUCCAGGCUUUGGUAAUGGACAACUCUGUAUCCCUGGAGCCUUCAUUCCUUUUGGCAUUACAGAACCACAAGAAGUCAUCUAGAAUCAUUGAGAUUCUCAACUCCAUUGGGCAAACUGGAACCAGCAAAAUCUCAGAUAUCUAGAAUUGCCACUGCUUCCUUGACUCUGUGAUCAGUCUAUAGCCACAGAAUCCUGAUUCCCUUUGGACAUUCUAGAAUGGCACUUAAAAAAAAAAACAACCCACCCCGUGGAUCCUUUCAAA